rnacentral:rRNA from 1 species
AGUGAACGCUGGCGGUAGGCCUAACACAUGCAAGUCGAACGGCAGCACAGUAAGAGCUUGCUCUUACGGGUGGCGAGUGGCGGACGGGUGAGGAAUACAUCGGAAUCUACUUUUUCGUGGGGGAUAACGUAGGGAAACUUACGCUAAUACCGCAUACGACCUACGGGUGAAAGCAGGGGAUCUUCGGACCUUGCGCGAUUGAAUGAGCCGAUGUCGGAUUAGCUAGUUGGCGGGGUAAAGGCCCACCAAGGCGACGAUCCGUAGCUGGUCUGAGAGGAUGGUUCACCACAAUGGAACCGAGAGACGGUCCAAGACCCUACGGGAAGGCACAGUGGGGAAUAUUGGACAAUGGGCGCAAGCAUGAUCCAGCCAUACCGCGUGGGUGAAGAAGGCCUUCGGGUUGUAAAGCCCUUUUGUUGGGAAAGAAAAGCAGCAGGUUAAUACCCCGCUGUUCUGACGGUACCCAAAGAAUAAGCACCGGCUAACUUCGUG